AACAAAUCCUUCUACGCUGCAUACAAACACGUUACCACAGUCUGGAGUACUGUUGGAGAGUGAACCGAGACAGCCGCGGGGCGGUCCUUCGGCGAAACCAACGAGACGUUAAAUAUUUGCGAUAAUAUUGUAUAGUGCAAGUAUGAUAAAGACCGGUAACAAAAGUAUAGCGGAAAUUGAAAACCAAGUGCAAAAUCUUCCAACGAGCAAAAGGUGUUACCCAAGCACGUCAGAUGCAUCAACCGAAGCAAAAAUGUUUAAACGCAGAUGAAAAGCUUAUUGGAAGAAAAGUAAAUUUAAGGCCAACGAUUGGAGGAAGGAAAAAGUUUGAUGGGGCAGAUCCAUUAUGUUACACCUUGACUUUGUCGGCAAUCAAGUCAAGUCAAGUGCCGAGGGCGCGCCAAGGUGGGUAAAGAAAGAGACAAGAGCAAUACCGUGACGAUCGGAAAAACCAUUACCGAGAAAUAAGGAAGGCCGGUAAAUGGAAUGAAACGUGGAGCGGCCAAAGGAAGAGAGAGAGAGAGAGUAGGAAAGAGUGAGCGAAGAAGGUGUCUGUCUGUAAUAAGAGGAAGAAAAAGAUGAGAUGAAAGAUGGAUAGAGAGAGAAUUGUAAGACAUUGAUAGAAACAUUGAUGGAUUGGAAAAGAAAAAGAAGAAAAAUCAAAAAGAUGUUGGCAAUUGUUUUGAAUUCUAGUCAAAGAGUGAAUGUUAUAUGUUUUUAUGCUUAAAAAACAAAAAAACCAUUCGAAUGUAAGAAAUGGUUUGAAGCAAUAUAGCCAGCGAAUAAAAAAUAAAAAAUAAAAAAUAAAAGGAAAAACCGUUCGAUUCAAAGCAAAGUACAAACAAAGCCACAAAAGGAUCUUACUAAUAACGAAUGCUACAAAAAACUAGACCAACUAACUAAACAAGUAGCAAAGGGAUAUAAAGAGGUACAGCGAAGUCACUGAAAAGAUGAAGAUAACGAGAUAUACAGAUGUCAUUAAAAGAGUGGUAUAACGAAAUAUAGUGAUAUCACAAACCCACAGAAUUUUAGGGCUGGUAAGAAAAGUAAAGAGAAGAAAAACAAAACAAAAGAAUAAAAAAAACAAAAAAACAAACAAAAGGAAAGGCUGAUGUGCAUAUAGUCUCAAAAGUCAAUCGAGUUUAGUUUUACUUUUUCAUGAGCAUCUAGCAUUUGCUCUUGUUUUGUGUUCGGCCGUCUGACUGUUUGGAUGAGGAAGAAGAAAAUUUUGUAGGGCGGCCGUGAAAGAAAAGGAAACAAAGGAAAAAUUAAAAGAAAAU